rnacentral:rRNA from 1 species
AUAUUGCGCAAUGGAGGGAACUCUGACGCAGCGACGCCGCGUGAGCGAUGAAGGUUUUCGGAUCGUAAAGCUCUGUCCUUGGGGAAGAAGGUCUUCGGACUUGACGGUACCUAAUGAGAAAGCCACGGCUAACUACGUGCCAGCAGCCGCGGUAAUACGUAGGUGGCAAGCGUUGUCCGGAAUUAUUGGGCGUAAAGGGUGCGUAGGCGGUCUAAUAAGUCUAGUUUGAAAUUUUGUGGCUUAACCAUAAAGGGUGACUAGAAACUGUUAGACUUGAGGAUAGAAGAGGAAAGUGGAAUUCCAUGUGUAGCGGUGAAAUGCGUAGAUAUGUGGAGGAACACCGGUGGCGAAGGCGGCUUUCUGGUCUAUCACUGACGCUAAUGCACGAAAGCGUGGGUAGCAAACA